CUUUGCAUAUAUCAUAAAAAUAUAUGUGAUUCUCCCCUCAUCAAUAUUAAAUGAAAGCACUUUUUUAAGCCUCGGAUUUUCCUUGUCUGUAUCAUACACUCUUCACUAUGAGCUGAGCAGGGGUGUUGAAUAGCAUAUAGCACCAGGCCCAUGUGGCCUUCUCACCAUCCUCAGUGUGGGCCUUUCAACUCGAUACCAUGCUCAUCUGAUGUGAUUAUCACAAACCCAUACUUAGCAAGAGAGUUCCCAGCCUAUAAGUAGAUUUAUUCUAUCUUAAGCCUUGGCUUAUAUGAGAGAGGUUUUGUGGCAUCUGGGAGAUGGAGUCAUGGAAAUUUGAUUAAAAAGAAAAAAGGGGGGAAUAUUGUUUGGUCUGUCCUGUUUUGAGGUGAACAAGGUCUCUAGGAACUUUUUCUUAAAGGCUGUGUGAAUCUGUGUUAUUUUAGAAACCCUAUUUCCUCUUACCCUUCUCACGAACCACGUACUCAAAGAUACCGCAUAUUUGACAAUGAAAUACCUGGCCCAGAGGAAAGUAACAAUGAUUUAUAUUUUCAGAAGAGAAGUGUAGUAUUUUGGAGUUAGCUAGAUCUAUCCCUCCCCGCUUUUUUUUAAACAGAUGGAGAAACUGAGUCCUGAAGGAUUAUAACAUCCUUGAAAUUAUACAAAGAACUGAAGUAGCAUCUGGCUUGUCUAGGAGGUCAAGAUGAGAAAGACUUCUCCUUGAUUGGCUCCCUCUUAAAGAGAAAUGCUUUUGCUCAGCAUUGCAACUAUUGACCUUCUGAUUACAUCACUCAUGAUUUUUUAAAAAAUGUUAAAACUUACAUUGAAAAAAUACAUAUGCCACUUUUAAAAUGGAGGCUUUCAGCAGCAUUUCGAUCUAUCCAUAUGUUAUGGUUUGGGCCAAAUUAACCAGCC
rnacentral:lncRNA from 1 species